UCUCCCUGCCAGUGAUUUAUCCCAGGACAAAUUGGCUCUUCCAGAGGUUCAGAUCCCAGCUGUGAAGGGUACAACCUUCCUUUCCUCUGAGCAUGGCCCUGGGAAAUCAGGUGAUGAAGAGCCAGGUUACAGAAAACAGGCAGAUGAGGAGUACAUAAAGCAGUAGCCAGGGAGCAGUGUAACUUGUUAAUGGAGAUUUUGAACUCUGAGCUGACUCUUGUGCAGCUGCAACCCUCCUUGCAGCCACUAAUUUAUAUGAAAUGCCUUAUGGACAAAAUACAGCACACAAGUUGCGAGGAGAAAAAGCUAGCUGAAAAUGGGCAAAGUGAGGGAGUCAGCCACAACACAGCAGUGUGUUGGCUGCAGGAAGAGAGGGUUUCUCCUGGAAUUUUCCAAAAGGACUCAGCUUCAGAUAAAUGGCACUUUCAGUUUCAUCUGCAAGGUCAGGAGGGAGGGAUAGGGCUGCUAUGAAGGCAGGUGGUUUGCACUGUUCUUUUUUCUGGUUUUUGCACCUUUGUUCUUCUUCCUUGACUAUAACAUGCUGCUAACAGCUUUUUGUGUUACCUUUCUUACAUGGUCAGUAAAGCAGGAUGUAAUAGAUCCCAAACUGGUGUAUCAUUUAUAGGGAGAAAAGCCUAUGCCUGUUGAGUUUUCGUUAUAGCUCAUUACAUCACGAAUAAUGCUGAAUACAGUAUUGUUUUGCUAUAACAAAAAUACUGACUACUUUUGCAUGCAGAUAUUCCUGUUAAUACCACUCUGAUAUUUGUGAACCAAAAGAUGGGAAACGUUAGUAAAUAGAUUCAAGAUGACCCAAGGACAAAAAGAGACAAGAAGGCAAUGUGAGGUCUAGAAAAGAGUGGCCACGGAAGGAAGACACCAUGAAGAUUUCAAGCCCAGUGCUACAAGUACUUUUUGCCCCCUUACGAUGUCCUGGAUGUAGGUUUCUACAGUGAAGUAUCCAGAUGUACAGCAAGCAAGUAGAGAACCUAAAGAAGUGGGAUUCUGCUGUCUGUUGUAUUGUUUCAUUUCUCCAUUCUGUAAGAGGCACAGACCCUCCCCCCACAGGGGAAAGAUACCUGCUUUCUUCUGUCAGAGUAUUGGAGCACUGGUUCCUGUUGCUGGAUGUUACAGAGACAAGUGGAUUGUGUGACUUGUGUGGCCAAGGCCACUACACACUCAGGGCACAGAGAGGAAGGGAGAGGCGUGCUAAGACUAUCAAAAAGAGCGAUGUCUGUAAGACCUUGGAGGAGUGGGCUGCAGCAUCUGGUUUAGUUGCCGACUUCUGAAGAAUUUCAUCAGUAAUAAAGUUUCACCCAAAUGUUGUUUUUGACAGCACCCUAAGUCCUGUUGAAAACCACUCUCAGCCAUUUUAUCAGCUGUAAUCAGCACCUGGACAGAUUUAAGAAGUAAUAACUACAUCCUAAAUGCAACCAGUGCUCUCUACAGGAACACUCUGAAGAAAUAACACUUCCCCAGGAGAUGGAGCAAGAAGAUAGUGUGUUGCAGAUGUCUUUUAGAACAGAGGCUGACACAGACAAGGAGAGAAAAAUUAAAUAGGGUAGCUUCACAGCAAGACGCUGGGCUUUGGGACCAGUGGAGCACAAAGUUGGACCCAGAGGAUGUGUGCAUGAUGCGGGACCAGGUGCAAUAGUGCAUCAGCAAGAACAGCUUCCUGAAUGACUACAGCGGCUGAGUGAGUCCUUUGGUCCUUUUUUUCCUGUUUGUUUCAUUCAUUUAUCUAUGACUGUGGCUAUUGCAGGAGGUAGCCAAGUGAAGAGUGGAUGAGCUUGCGCAGCAUGCACGAGGGAGUUCAGCUGCACUUGUUUACUGGUUGGUAACAGCUUGGAGGGAAGGUGAAGGUCUAGGAGUGCCUUCCAGAAACUGAAACAAUCAGGUGCUUGCACUGCAGCUCAGUAUUUGGUUGCUAUUCCACUGGCUGCAGGCAUUUUCUUUCCAAAAAAAUGAAACUGUGAAUUGUACUGCAGUUGUCACCCGAACCAGCACUCUUCUGGUUUUAUAUGGAAGUGGGUUAUAAGUUACAGUUGUUUUGGGAAUCCACACUUCAG
ensembl:lncRNA